CCUACGGGUGGCUGCAGUGGGGAAUAUUGCACAAUGGGCGCAAGCCUGAUGCAGCCAUGCCGCGUGUGUGAAGAAGGCCUUCGGGUUGUAAAGCACUUUCAGCGGGGAGGAAGGCGGUGAGGUUAAUAACCUCAUCGAUUGACGUUACCCGCAGAAGAAGCACCGGCUAACUCCGUGCCAGCAGCCGCGGUAAUACGGAGGGUGCAAGCGUUAAUCGGAAUUACUGGGCGUAAAGCGCACGCAGGCGGUCUGUCAAGUCGGAUGUGAAAUCCCCGGGCUCAACCUGGGAACUGCAUUCGAAACUGGCAGGCUAGAGUCUUGUAGAGGGGGGUAGAAUUCCAGGUGUAGCGGUGAAAUGCGUAGAGAUCUGGAGGAAUACCGGUGGCGAAGGCGGCCCCCUGGACAAAGACUGACACUCAGGUGCGAAAGCGUGGGGAGCAAACAGGAUUAGAUACCCCAGUAGUC
rnacentral:rRNA from 1 species